rnacentral:tRNA from 1 species
AAGGAUUUAAGUUAAUUAAACUAUUAACCUUCAAAGUUAAAAAUAUAUUUUUAAACAAAUUAAACCUUA